CGUUAAAACACCGGUUCACGUAAGUUCACUAAAGUUAAGCAAUUUCGAGCCUGGUUAGUACCUAGAUGGGUAACCGUUUGAGAAUAGCA